ensembl:lncRNA
AUGUCAGCUGAUCGAGCUGAAAAUGUGGUUCUGCCAAAAUCCAGCAGAAACUCACGACUGAAUGCACGCUUAAAGACAGGUAGACGUGAUGAAGAUGUACAAAAAUACUGCGACUCACAAGACAAAAAACAUGAAAACACCGUUCUGUCGGGAGCAAGAGAAGCAGCUGCGUGUGGACACUGCGUGUGGACGUGGCGUCAGCUUGAGUCAUCUAUGUUUGUACUGUUCUGGCAAGUGAGACAGUCUGUUAUUCUGCACGUCUGUCAAGAGGACAGCACAAUGCCAAACAACAAGGCUCUCAGGGCCGGUUUCAAUCAAAGAGACAAUGACGUGUCAACACGGCGCAUCUGCUGACACUUCGCAGAACAGCGAAAAUCAGAAGAAAAUGUUUAAAGAAGCUGGCCAUGAUCAUGAUUUUCUUCACAUUUCCCAAAAAGAGAUAAAAGGUAAAAAAAAUCGUUCCUCAACACCGUUAUUAAAAGAAGCAGACUUCCAAUUGACUUUGUUGCCUGAAUUAAUGAGGCUUGUAAUUAACUGAACUAAAGCUGUGCUCUGUUAAUAGAUAACUCUGGACCUUUUUAUUUGCCACAUAUUAAUAACAGAAUUUGAUCUGAUGCGUCUCAGACCUUGUGUUUUUCUUGUUGUAGGUCAUUGCUUCAUGGGACAUUAGCUGUGUCACCCCCCGGCAGAACAACAACACAGAAGGACAUCAAAACAUGCAAAACACAAGGAGGCCUAUAAUACAUGCAGAAAGCUGUAAACAUUCCCAUUCGUCUCAACUGCAGUUACUCGGCUGGUGCGGGACCCCCGUAAGCAUGCGAUUUGAACUGUGGAUAGUGGUCAGAGUGACAUUGUUUUGGAUCCAACAAAGUUAGCAGUUUAGCUAAUGCUAAUAAACAGGUUUCUGUUCUGUUCCAUAUAUGAAAUAUGUGCCAUAAUUGAGGGUAUUCCCUGUUCAUAUUAAAAGGUUUUUGUGUACAUUGCUGUGCAUAUGAAUACGCAACAACAUAGAAUCAGUGUAUUGACAGCAUUUAAAAAGUACAUCAUUUACUUUAGAAAUAACCUAUAUGAUUUCAAUAUUCUGUGUACUUAUAAACAUUUUUACAACUCUAAAGUUGUACAUGUGUAAAAGUCUUUGUUUUUAAAACGCUGAUGUUGUAUGCAUCAGUGUCUGUCCAAACAAACAACAAGCAACACUUUAUAAAUGAAUAAUAAUGAGAUCACUUUGCAUAAUCAGGUAGCCAUUGUAAAGGGAGGACUCAAAUGCUUUGACAAUGUCACAUUGAAAAGCUUGUAUUCGUGACAUUGUUAAUGUAAAAUAAAAGGCAAAGAAGCGUGCACAUGGACCUAAUAGCGAAUUGUCAUUUAAUUGCUCACCUCUACAGAGCUAGAAACCAUUUGACAUGCUCAAGAAGCUUUUCUAAGCCGGGCUGCAUUCUGAUUGAUAGUAAAAUUCGGAGCACUUGACAAUUAAUCUUUCAAAGAGAGAGUCAUUAAUAAUGCAUAGCGUAAUUCCCCUGAGUAUAGAGAGCAAUAAGACAUAACCGCUUUUUAAGUGAGAGGGGAGAUGUGGAGUGGUAGCUGGAUUUCAGAUUCAUCAUUCACACUGGAUAUGGCCAACAUCUGGUUUGGUGACCAUAAACAAGAUUGUUUAAUUUGCAAAAGCAUUGCCAUUGCAGCUGGUAUACAAACUAUUAAUGCAGAGUGCCGUUUUAGAGGUUGUCGCGCAGUUUACACAAAGAUAGGAUCAUAUCUCAUAUAUUUACAGUUGGCAAGGUCAUGUGAUGCUAGUCUGUUUUCUGCAUAUUUAAUGUUUAUUAUGUUAUCAGAGCUGAGCGAUUUUGAUAACACACAUGAUUUCAGUUUGUGCAGAGCUCACUGAAUGAAGUUGUUUUAUUUAUUUAUUUUUAUUUCUUAAGAUUAGGCAUCUCGCAGUUCUCAUUUGUACACAAGUUAGAAAUUUGUAGAUGCCAAAGUUUAUUGCACAAGCUUAUGAGGAUUGGCCCACAGGCUGAAUAAGGCUAGAUCAGUAGGAGAAAGUACAUUACUCAUUUGUCUCCAAAUCUUCUCUGAGUAGUUUUUUUUUUUUUAAGGAUAUAAGUAUUUGAAAAAUAAAUAACGAUAUUUUUAAUGAAAACUUUGAUGUUUCUGAUCGAUUGAAAGUCCAGUACCCAAAAUUUAGAAGAUCCAAAAAGGUCAUAAAGUAAAACAAAUUUAUAUGAAUCCUGUGGUUUAAUCAGUCUUGUGAAGAUGAUCAACAGAUUUAAGUUUUACAUCUAAAUUUAAAUAAAUAAAUUUACAUCUAAAGAAUGACGGACACAGAUACACUACAAGUCAAAAGUUUUUAAAUGGUAAGGUUGUUAAUGUUUUUUAAAGAAUUCUCUUCUGCUCACCAAGCCUGCAUUUAUUUCAUCCAAAAUACAGCAAAAGCAGUAACAUUUUAACUAUUUAAAGUUAAUGCUUUCUAUUUGAGUAUAUUAAAAAAAAUAUAUAUUCCUGUGAUUUCAAGCUAAAUUUUUUACAUCAUUACUCCAGUCACAUGAUCAUUCAGAAAACAUUCUAAUAUUCUGAUUUGCUGCUCAAAAACAUAUGAAUAAUAAUAAUGAUAAUAAUAAUAAUAAUAAUAUGUUUCUCGAACAGCAAAUCAGCAUAUUAGAAUAAUGAUUUCUGAAGGAUUAUGUGAAGACUGGAGUAAUGUUGCUGAAAAUUUAGCUUUGAUCACAGGAAUAAAGUACAUUUUAAAAUAUAUUCAAAUAGAAAUCAGCUAUUUUAAAUAAUAAAAAUAUUUCACAAUAUUACUGCUUUUGCUUUAUUAUGGAUCAAAUAAAUGCAGGCUUGGUGAGCAGAAGAGAAUUCUUUAAAAAUUAUUAAAAAUGUUCAAAAACCUUUGACUGGUAGUGUACCUGGAGCACAUCUGGUAAACACGGAAGCACAGGUGUGUGAAAACCAAUAAAGUUUGUUUUGCUAGUGACACAAGCUUCUGCAUUUAAAAUAUGUAAAGUGAUUUCACUGGAGGCACAGAAAUCUCACAGGUUUCAUUAAAAAAUAUCUUAAUCCAUGUUUCGAAUAUUAAGCAAAGUUUUAUGGGUUUGAAAUGACAUGGGGGGCGAGUAAAGGAUGACACAGUAUUCAUUCUGGGUGAAUUAAUGGUGCAUUUUGGCCAGGAAGCAGGUCUUUAAUUGCAAUUAGCUGUACAGUUUCAUUUUUAGCUCUUACUUUGUGUUAAUGUUCAACUUUAGAUGGUUUAUUAAACCUUUGGUUUUAGAGCAUGUGAAUACUGUUAUUUGAUUAAUAUUGUUUAAAUGUCAGUUCCAUAUCUAAACUUUUUUUGUCCCAAAUACAAAUAUAUUGGGCAUGCAAUCUCCAUGGUUACCAUAAUGCAAAAUAUUUAGAUUUUGUAUAUUUAUAAAUUCUCUUUUGUUACAAGUGAAGUUAAGAAGAAGAUACUAUUUAUAUGUUUUUCCUUUCAUAAGCACUGGAUAAACAGAUGGAUAAAUAAACAGACAGAAAAAAAUGUAGGCGCUAUGGCAAACCAGUUGUUUUAAAUUCACAAUGAUGUAUCACUGACAUGACACAGGCCAUUGCUUUAGAAUGAGAUGUGUGCUAUUAAAUUGGCUAUUUGUGACGCUAUGCAUGCAUGUAACCCCAAUAGAGAUGGAGUGUUGAGAUGCUUCAUACUGCUUCUUACAUAUCUUUUAUUUAAAGACACCCAAGGCCUUCUUUUUAUUCAGAUCAGUUGUGUGUCCUCUAUUAUUUUGUACUUUAUAAAAACAACGAGGCGUGCAUAUUAAAAUGAACAAAACAGAUUCAGUCCAUUGUCAUACAGCCAUUGCCCACUCUUGGCUUGAAUAGGAAUUCAAAUUUAAAGCCUUUAUCUUUUUGUUAUAAUGUACAUUUUUACAUAGUAUCUCUCUUUUUAUGCAUUAUUUGUCAGUGCAUAAUUAUUUCUGC